GAUCCUGGCUUAGGACGAACGCUGGCGGCGUGCCUAAUACAUGCAAGUCGAACGGUCUUUUCUAUGGAAGCUUGCUUCCACUGAGAAGAUAGUGGCGAACGGGUGAGUAACACGUGGGUAACCUGCCCAUAAGAGGGGGGAUAACAUCCGGAAACGGGUGCUAAUACCGCAUAGUUUUCUUGAUCGCAUGAUCGGGAAAGGAAAGACGGCCUUUGUGCUGUCGCUUAUGGAUGGACCCGCGGCGUAUUAGUUAGUUGGUGAGGUAACGGCUCACCAAGACGAUGAUACGUAGCCGACCUGAGAGGGUGAUCGGCCACAUUGGGACUGAGACACGGCCCAAACUCCUACGGGAGGCAGCAGUAGGGAAUCUUCCGCAAUGGACGAAAGUCUGACGGAGCAACGCCGCGUGAGUGAAAGAAGGUUUUCGGAUCGUAAAACUCUGUUGUCAGAGAAGAACAAGUUGGAGAGUAACUGCUCCAGCCUUGACGGUAUCUGACCAGAAAGCCACGGCUAACUACGUGCCAGCCGCCGC
rnacentral:rRNA from 1 species